UACGUAGGGGGCAAGCGUUGUCCGGAAUCACUGGGCGUAAAGCGCGCGCAGGCGGCUGUCUACGUCCGGGGUGAAAGCCCAGAGCUCAACUCUGGGAUUGCCUUGGAUACGGGAUGGCUUGAGGAUCGGAGAGGCAAGGGGAAUUCCACGUGUAGCGGUGAAAUGCGUAGAGAUGUGGAGGAACACCUGUGGCGAAGGCGCCUUGCUGGCCGAUUUCUGACGCUGAGGCGCGAAAGCGUGGGGAGCGAACAGG
rnacentral:rRNA from 1 species